CCUACGGGGGACAGCAGUGAGGAAUAUUGGUCAAUGGGCUUACGCCUGAACCAGCCAAGUCGCGUGAGGGAAGACUGCCCUAUGGGUUGUAAACCUCUUUUGUCAGGGAGCAAUUGGCGCUACGUGUAGCGUUAUCGAGAGUACCUGAAGAAAAAGCAUCGGCUAACUCCGUGCCAGCAGCCGCGGUAAUACGGAGGAUGCGAGCGUUAUCCGGAUUUAUUGGGUUUAAAGGGUGCGUAGGCUGUGAGGUAAGUCAGCGGUGAAAUGCCCCCGCUCAACGGGGUGAAGUGCCAUUGAUACUGCCUUGCUGGAAUGCGGAUGCCGUGGGAGGAAUGUGUGGUGUAGCGGUGAAAUGCAUAGAUAUCACACAGAACACCGAUUGCGAAGGCAUCUCACGAAUCCGCGAUUGACGCUGAUGCACGAAAGCGUGGGUAUCAAACAGGAUUAGAUACCCGUGUAGUC
rnacentral:rRNA from 1 species